GUCCAUUGAUGCGGUAUUUUCAGAUGUAAAUGCCACUGUUAUUUCUGCUGCAGACUACACCACAGAUGGCGGUGGUAUAGUCAUUCCCACCGAUGCUCCCCAGGCUAGCGGUAAGUUUGCUAGAGACUAGUUGCAACAUUGAAAAAAAUAAACAUAGAUCGUUCCCGAAACCAUAGAUCAUAAAAAAAAAACAUAGAUCAUAUUCAUUCAUAUUUUGUCCUUUGUUUAACAGGUGCAGGACUGAUCGCUGGGGCUGUGAUUGGGGCCAUUGUUGUCUUCACCUUGAUAUUUGGACUGCUUUAUUACGUCUUCAGCAUCAGAGGAGUCAAGCUGAGUGACGUCAGCUUCCCAACGAGAACGGGAAGGAGCGUUGAUGUGCCUGCUUUUAACAACCCCAACUUUGGAGGAGAAUCGGAAACAUGAAACAUGGGAUUUGGAUGAGUUUUUGUAUAUUUGUAAUGAACCAUGAUUGCCACACAGUUUCUCUUGUAUAAGAAAUCACCAUGUCAAUAACUUAGGUCUGUUUAAAUAAAGCAUGAAUACAACAAUCUCUAAGAACUGUUUUUGAGACAUACAUUUUUGAGAGAAUAUAUUUUCUAAUAAUCUCUUUAAUUCUUAUAAAUCGGUUGGCAACAUGUAAUAUUUAAAUUUCAAAUGUUUAUACUUUUUUUUUUUAGGUUGGAUGCUUGUCUGUGGUAGUAUGUAUCGCACUACAUUAGUAAUAAAAUCACUUUUCUGAAUACCAAAUAAACUGGGCUACAACUACCACCGGAGAUUUAAUAUUUAUGCCAAAUGGUCAAGCUAUUUUAUGAUAAUGUAUGGAAUUGUAUUAUUUACUAUUGUAUUUAAUGUAUUGAUAAUGCAUUAUUUUCUAAAAGAGGUUUGAAUAAAAUAAAAAAAGUAAAAAUUUUUAAUACUAUUUCUAAGUGUCUUGCAUGCCGGAGACCUUUCAUAGGUGUCUGUGGCUGAAAAUAUCGUAGUUAUAUUUUUACUUUAUUUACUUUUGUUAUAUCAUCCUAUCAUCUGAUUUUUACUUUUGUUUAAUACAUGUUUUGUUAUCAUUUCACCUCAUAAUUCAGUUUGCUUGUGUUAGACUGCUAUUACACAGUCCCUAAGUCCAGAACAUACUGUGGGAAGGCGCACAGCACUACAUAGAGCCAUGACUACAUGGAACUCUAUUCCACAGUACUACAUAGAGCCAUGACUACAUGGAACUCUAUUCCACAGCACUACAUAGAGCCAUGACUACAUGGAACUCUAUUCCACAGUACUACAUAGAGCCAUGACUACAUGGAACUCUAUUCCACAGCACUACAUAGAGCCAUGACUACAUGGAACUCUAUUCCACAGUACUACAUAGAGCCAUGACUACAUGGAACUCUAUUCCACAGUACUACAUAGAGCCAUGACUACAUGGAACUCUAUUCCACAGUACUACAUAGAGCCAUGACUACAUGGAACUCUAUUCCACAGUACUACAUAGAGCCAUGACUACAUGGAACUCUAUUCCACAGCACUACAUAGAGCCAUGACUACAUGGAACUCUAUUCCACAGUACUACAUAGAGCCAUGACUACAUGGAACUCUAUUCCACAGUACUACAUAGAGCCAUGACUACAUGGAACUGACGCAAGCAGUAAAAGUAGAUUUAAAAAACACACAGAUUUAGUACUGUAGAUAUGUGGUAGUGGUGGAGUAGAGGCCUGAGAGCACACAGUAUUCUUCUAACUGUUAUGGUAAAGCAAUAUAUAUAUAUAUUUUUUUACCGUUGCCUUUACUAGGCAAGUCAGUUAGGAACAAAUUCUUAUUUUCAAUGACAGCCUAGUAACAGUGGGUUAACUGCCUGUUCAGGGGCAGAACAACAUAUUUUUUUUUACCUUGUCCGCUUGGGGAUUUGAUCUUGCAAUCUUUCGGUUACUAGUCCAACACUCUAACCACUAGACUACCUGCCUCGAUGUAUUCAGCUUUUCACUGCUGGUAUAGUGACUUGCCAAUGUUAAUAGAGAAAGUACAAAAUGUUUUGUAAAUUCAUACACUGUAAACUGUAGCUUGUGUUGUGCUUUUAUUAAUAGUUUGAAUGUUUUUCAAGAGGAUACAUGGCCAAACGUAUGUGGACACCCUUCAAAUGAGUGGAUUUGACUAUUUCAGCCAAACCCGUUGCUGAUAAGGUGUAUAGAAUCGAGCACACCGCCAUGCUAUCUCCAUAGACAAACAUCGGCAGUAAAACGGCCUUAGUGAAGAGUUCAGUGAGCUGAACAUUCAAACGAUUAACGAUCAACGUGGCACCGUUAUAGGAUGCCACCCAUCCAGCAAGUCAGUUGGUCACAUUUCUGCCCUGCUAGAGCUUCCCCAGGUCGACUGUAAGUGCUGUUAUUGUGAAGUGAAAAUAUCUAGGAGCAACAACGGCUCAGCUGUGAAGUGGUAGGCCACACAAGCUCAAGGAUCGGAACCGCCGAGUGCUGAAGCGUGUAAAAACCGUCUGUGCUCUGUUGGAGCACUCACUACCUAGUUCCAAACUGCCUCUGGAAGCAACGUCAGCACAAGAACUGUUGGUCAGGAGUUUCAUAAAAUGGGUUUCCAUGGCCAAGCAGCCGCACACACACAAGCCUAAGAUCAACCAUGCGCAAUGCCAUGCUUCGGUUGGAGUGGUGUAAAGCUUGUCGCCAUUGGACUCUGGAGCAGUGGAAACAUUCUCUGGAUUUGAUGAAUCCCACUUCACCAUCUGGCAGUCUGA
rnacentral:lncRNA from 1 species